rnacentral:rRNA from 1 species
UACGUAGGGUGCAAGCGUUGUCCGGAAUUAUUGGGCGUAAAGAGCUCGUAGGCGGUCUGUCGCGUCGAUCGUGAAAACUUGGGGCUUAACCCUGAGCUUGCGGUCGAUACGGGCAUGACUGGAGUUCGGCAGGGGAGACUGGAAUUCCUGGUGUAGCGGUGAAAUGCGCAGAUAUCAGGAGGAACACCGGUGGCGAAGGCGGGUCUCUGGACCGAUACUGACGCUGAGGCGCGAAAGCGUGGGGAGCAAACAGG